rnacentral:rRNA from 1 species
UACGUAGGGGGCAAGCGUUGUCCGGAUUUAUUGGGCGUAAAGAGCGUGUAGGCGGCCAGGUAGGUCUGGUGUGAAAACUCGAGGCUUAACCUCGAGAUGUCAUCGGAAACCAUCUGGCUAGAGUCCGGAAGAGGAGAGUGGAAUUCCUGGUGUAGCGGUGAAAUGCGCAGAUAUCAGGAAGAACACCAAUGGCGAAAGCAGCUCUCUGGGACGGUACUGACGCUGAGACGCGAAAGCGUGGGGAGUGAACAGG